AACGAACGCUGGCGGCAUGCCUAUCACAUGCGAGUCGAACGAGACCUUCGGGUCUAGUGGCGCACGGGUGCGUAACGCGUGGGAACCUGCCCUUAGGUUCGGAAUAACUCCCCGAAAGGGGUGCUAAUACCGGAUAAUGUCUUCGGACCAAAGAUUUAUCGCCUUUGGAUGGGCCCGCGUUGGAUUAGCUAGUUGGUAGGGUAAAAGCCUACCAAGGCGACGAUCCAUAGCUGGUCUGAGAGGAUGAUCAGCCACACUGGGACUGAGACACGGCCCAGACUCCUACGGGAGGCAGCAGUGGGGAAUAUUGGACAAUGGGCGAAAGCCUGAUCCAGCAAUGCCGCGUGAGUGAUGAAGGCCUUAGGGUUGUAAAGCUCUUUUACCCGGGAUGAUAAUGACAGUACCGGGAGAAUAAGCUCCGGCUAACUCCGUG
rnacentral:rRNA from 1 species